rnacentral:rRNA from 1 species
UACGAAGGGGGCUAGCGUUGUUCGGAAUUACUGGGCGUAAAGGGCGCGUAGGCGGCGCUGUAAGUGAGAUGUGAAAGACCUGGGCUUAACCUGGGAAGUGCAUUUCAUACUGCAGUGCUUGAGUGUAAGAGAGGAAAGUGGAAUGAUGCAUGUAGAGGUGAAAUUCGUAGAUAUGCAUUGGAACACCAGUGGCGAAGGCGACUUUCUGGCUUACAACUGACGCUAAGGCGCGAAAGCGUGGGGAGCAAACAGG